rnacentral:rRNA from 1 species
AUUGAACGCUGGCGGCAUGCCUUACACAUGCAAGUCGAACGGCAGCACGGGGCAACCUGGUGGCGAGUGGCGAACGGGUGAGUAAUGCAUCGGAACGUGCCAUUGAGUGGGGGAUAACGUAGCGAAAGUUGCGCUAAUACCGCAUAUUCUGUGAGCAGGAAAGCAGGGGACCGCAAGGCCUUGCGCUCUUUGAGCGGCCGAUGUCAGAUUAGCUAGUUGGUGAGGUAACGGCUUACCAAGGCGACGAUCUGUAGCGGGUCUGAGAGGAUGAUCCGCCACACUGGAACUGAGACACGGUCCAGACUCCUACGGAGGCAGCAGUGGGGAAUUUUUGGGACAAUGGGCGCAAGCCUGAUCCAGCCAUGCCGCGUCGAGUGAAGAAGGCCU